GACGGAGGGGGCAAGCGUUGUUCGGAAUUACUGGGCGUAAAGCGCACGUAGGCGGCGAUUCAAGUCAGAGGUGAAAGCCCGGGGCUCAACCCCGGAACUGCCUUUGAAACUAGAUUGCUAGAAUCCUGGAGAGGUUAGUGGAAUUCCGAGUGUAGAGGUGAAAUGCGUAGAUAUUGGGAGGAACACCAGUGGCGAAGGCGGCUCACUGGACCGGAACUGACGCUGAGGCGCGAAAGCGUGGGGAGCAAACAGG
rnacentral:rRNA from 1 species